rnacentral:rRNA from 1 species
GACGAACGCUGGCGGCGUGCUUAACACAUGCAAGUCGAGCGGUAAGGCCCUUUCGGGGGUACACGAGCGGCGAACGGGUGAGUAACACGUGGGUGACCUGCCCUCAGCUCUGGGAUAAGCCUGGGAAACCGGGUCUAAUACUGGAUAUGACUCCAUGACGCAUGUUGUGGGGUGGAAAGCCUUGUGCGGCUGAGGAUGGGCCCGCGGCCUAUCAGCUUGUUGGUGGGGUGAUGGCCUACCAAGGCGACGACGGUAGCCGGCCUGAGAGGGCGACCGGCCACACUGGGACUGAGACACGGCCCAGACUCCUACGGGAGGCAGCAGUGGGGAAUCUUGCGCAAUGGGCGAAAGCCUGACGCAGCGACGCCGCGUGA